rnacentral:rRNA from 2 species
CUUAUGAAGUUAGCGGCGGACGGGUGAGUAACACGUGGGUAACCUGCCCAUAAGACUGGGAUAACUCCGGGAAACCGGGGCUAAUACCGGAUAACAUUUUGAACCGCAUGGUUCGAAAUUGAAAGGCGGCUUCGGCUGUCACUUAUGGAUGGACCCGCGUCGCAUUAGCUAGUUGGUGAGGUAACGGCUCACCAAGGCAACGAUGAGCGUAGCCGACCUGAGAGGGUGAUCGGCCACACUGGGACUGAGGGGUAUCGACACGGCCCACGACUGACCUACGGGAGGCAGCAGUAGGGAAUCUUCCGCAAUGGACGAAAGUCUGACGGAGCAACGCCGCGUGAGUGAUGAAGGCUUUCGGGUCGUAAAACUCUGUUGUUAGGGAAGAACAAGUGCUAGUUGAAUAAGCUGGCACCUUGACGGUACCUAACCAGAAAGCCACGGCUAACUACGUGCCAGCAGCCGCGGUAAUACGUAGGUGGCAAGCGUUAUCCGGAAUUAUUGGGCGUAAAGCGCGCGCAGGUGGUUUCUUAAGUCUGAUGUGAAAGCCCACGGCUCAACCGUGGAGGGUCAUUGGAAACUGGGAGACUUGAGUGCAGAAGAGGAAAGUGGAAUUCCAUGUGUAGCGGUGAAAUGCGUAGAGAUAUGGAGGAACACCAGUGGCGAAGGCGACUUUCUGGUCUGUAACUGACACUGAGGCGCGAAAGCGUGGGGAGCAAACAGGAUUAGAUACCCUGGUAGUCCACGCCGUAAACGAUGAGUGCUAAGUGUUAGAGGGUUUCCGCCCUUUAGUGCUGAAGUUAACGCAUUAAGCACUNCCGCCUGGGGAGUACGGCCGCAAGGCUGAAACUCAAAGGAAUUGACGGGGGCCCGCACAAGCGGUGGARCAUGUGGUUUAAUUYGAAGCAACGCGAAGAACCUUACCAGGUCUUGACAUCCUCUGACAACCCUAGAGAUAGGGCUUCUCCUUCGGGAGCAGAGUGACAGGUGGUGCAUGGUUGUCGUCAGC